AUUGAACGCUGGCGGCAUGCUUUACACAUGCAAGUCGAACGGUAACAGGCCGCAAGGUGCUGACGAGUGGCGAACGGGUGAGUAAUGCAUCGGAACGUGCCCAGUCGUGGGGGAUAACGCAGCGAAAGCUGUGCUAAUACCGCAUACGAUCUAUGGAUGAAAGCGGGGGACCGUAAGGCCUCGCGCGAUUGGAGCGGCCGAUGUCAGAUUAGGUAGUUGGUGGGGUAAAGGCCUACCAAGCCGACGAUCUGUAGCUGGUCUGAGAGGACGACCAGCCGCACGGGGCCUGAGACACGGGCCAGACUCCUACGGGAGGCAGCAGUGGGGAAUUUUUGACAAUGGACGCAAGCCUGAUCCAGCAAUGCGGCGUGCAGGAAGAAGGCCUUCGGGUUGUAAACUGCUUUUGUACGGAACGAAACGGUCUGGGUUAAUACCUGGGCUAAUGACGGUACCGUAAGAAUAAGCACCGGCUAACUACGUGCCAGCCGCCGCCGUAAUAC
rnacentral:rRNA from 1 species